AGGAUGAACGCUAGCGGCAGGCCUAAUACAUGCAAGUCGAACGGUAAGUAGAGUAGCAAUACUUUACCAAGAGUGACGCACGGGUGCGUAACACGUAUGCAACCUACCCUUUACAGGAGUAUAGCUCGGGGAAACUCGAAUUAACACUUCAUAGUAUAAUUGAAUGGCAUCAUUUGGUUAUUAAAUCUGAGGAGGUAAAGGAUGGGCAUGCGUCUGAUUAGCUAGUUGGUAGUGUAAUGGACUACCAAGGCGAUGAUCAGUAGGGGAACUGAGAGGUUGAUCCCCCAACUGGCACUGAGAUACGGGCCGAGUCCUACGGAGGCAGCAGUAGGGAAUAUUGGUCAAUGGGUGAGAGCUGAACCAGCCAGUGCCGCGUGCGAGGAAGACGGUCCUUCGUGGGUUGUAAACUGCUUUUGUACAGGGUAUAAAUUUCCUUGACGAGGUAAAAUGAAGGUCCUAGGCGAAUAACGCCAACGGACUUAAACCUACGGUCGACCCGAAGCGAACGGCCCGU
rnacentral:rRNA from 1 species